GNAUGGUGCAAGCGUUAUCCGGAUNUACUGGGUGUAAAGGGAGCGCAGGCGGUGCGGCAAGUCUGAUGUGAAAGCCCGGGGCUCAACCCCGGUACUGCAUNGGAAACUGUCGUACUAGAGUGUCGGAGGGGUAAGCGGAAUNCCUNGUGUAGCGGUGAAAUGCGUAGAUAUAAGGAAGAACACCAGUGGCGAAGGCGGAUUACUGGACGGUAACUGACGUUGAGGCUCGAAAGCGUGGGGAGCAAACAGGAUUAGAUACCCUGGUAGUCCACGCCGUAAACGAUGUUUGCUAGGUGUAGGCGAGAUAUCGUCUGUGCCGGCGCAAACGCAAUAAGUAUCCCACCUGGGGAGU
rnacentral:rRNA from 1 species